rnacentral:rRNA from 1 species
CCUACGGGAGGCAGCAGUGAGGAAUAUUGGUCAAUGGCCGGAAGGCUGAACCAGCCAAGCCGCGUGAAGGACGAAGGUGCCAAGCAUUGUAAACUUCUUUUGUCAAGGGACAAAAUCAGGCUCGAGAGCCUGACCGAGGGUACUUGAAGAAAAAGCAUCGGCUAACUCCGUGCCAGCAGCCGCGGUAAUACGGAGGAUGAGGGCGUUAUCCGGGUUUAUUGGGUUUAAGGGGUGCGUAGGGGGACUGUUACGUCAGCGGUAAAAGCCCGGGGCUCAACCCCGGAGAGCCGUUGAAACUGGCUGACGGGAGAUGUCGAGAGGUAUGCGGAAUGCCCAGUGUAGCGGUGAAAUGCUUAGAUA